rnacentral:rRNA from 1 species
AUUGAACGCUGGCGGCAUGCCUUACACAUGCAAGUCGAACGGCAGCACGGGGGCAACCCUGGUGGCGAGUGGCGAACGGGUGAGUAAUACAUCGGAACGUGCCCCGUAGCGGGGGAUAACCAGUCGAAAGAUUGGCUAAUACCGCAUACGCUCCACGGAGGAAAGCAGGGGACCCGCAAGGGCCUUGCACUAUGGGAGCGGCCGAUGCCCGAUUAGCUAGUUGGUGAGGUAAAGGCUCACCAAGGCUACGAUCGGUAGCUGGUCUGAGAGGACGACCAGCCACACUGGGACUGAGACACGGCCCAGACUCCUACGGGAGGCAGCAGUGGGGAAUUUUGGACAAUGGGCGCAAGCCUGAUCCAGCCAUGCCGCGUGCGGGAAGAAGGCCUUCGGGUUGUAAACCGCUUUUGGCAGGAACGAAACGGCGCGAGCUAAUACCCCGCGCUAAUGACGGUACCUGCAGAAUAAGCACCGGCUAACUACGUGCCAGCCGCCGCCGUAAUAC